UACGAAGGGGGCUAGCGUUGUUCGGAAUCACUGGGCGUAAAGCGCACGUAGGCGGAUUUUUAAGUCAGGGGUGAAAUCCCGAGGCUCAACCUCGGAACUGCCUUUGAUACUGGGGAUCUGGAGUCCGGGAGAGGUGAGCGGAACUGCGAGUGUAGAGGUGAAAUUCGUAGAUAUUCGCAAGAACACCAGUGGCGAAGGCGAGUCUCUGGACAUUUCCUGACGCUGAGGCACGAAAGCCAGGGGAGCAAACGGG
rnacentral:rRNA from 1 species